rnacentral:tRNA from 1 species
AGAUUUUGAGUUGGGAACAAUUUAUAAUUUGCAAUUAUAAGAUAUAUAUUAUAUAAAAUCUU